GACGAACGCUGGCGGCGUACUUAACACAUGCAAGUCGAACGGAAAGGCCCUGCUUUUGUGGUGUGCUCGAGUGGCGAACGGGUGAGUAACACGUGAGUAACCUGCCCUUGACUUUGGGAUAACUUCAGGAAACUGGGGCUAAUACCGGAUAGGAGCUCCUGCUGCAUGGUGGGGGUUGGAAAGUUUCGGCGGUUGGGGAUGGACUCGCGGCUUAUCAGCUUGUUGGUGGGGUAGUGGCUUACCAAGGCCUUGACGGGUAGCCGGCCUGAGAGGGUGACCGGCCACAUUGGGACUGAGAUACGGCCCAGACUCCUACGGGAGGCAGCAGUGGGGAAUAUUGCACAAUGGGCGGAAGCCUGAUGCAGCAACGCCGCGUGCGGGAUGACGGCCUUCGGGUUGUAAACCGCUUUCGCCUGUGACGAAGCGUGAGUGACGGUAAUGGGUAAAGAAGCACCGGCUAACUACGUG
rnacentral:rRNA from 1 species